rnacentral:rRNA from 1 species
UUUUAGAAAUUGGGGGGGGGACCCCCAAAACGGGGGGACCUUGGGUUUUAUUGGGUUUAAACCCGGGAAAUCUCCCAGGAGCAGACACCGAAUAAAAUCCGGUUUGAAGCCUUUUUUGGAUAAGUGGAGAGGGGGGGCAGGCCCCUGUUCACUUUUCCCUGUGGGGCUCCCUUUAAUUUCGGAAAACGAGCGAACCCCACGCUUACAUUACCCAGCAUCUCUUUGGGGAUGAUGGGCACACUAAGGGGACCGCCAGUGAUAAAGAGGAGGAAGGAAUGGACGACGGUAGGUCCGUAUGCCCCGAAUCUUCCGGGCUACACGCGGGCUACAAUGGCUAGGACAAUGGGUUUCGACACCGAAAGGUGGAGGUAAUCUCCUAAACAUAGUCGUAGUUCGGAUUGAGGGCUGUAACUCGCCCUCAUGAAGCUGGAAUGCGUAGUAAUCGCGUUUCA